CUAAACUGAGGAAAGUCGGCCGAAACUGAUCGACUCGAGGAACGUAGAGGGAAGCGGAACUCUCGGAGUAGCGGUGAAAUGCGUAGAGACCGAGAGGUACCCCGAUGGUGAAGACAGCUUCCUGGGCGUUUCCUGACGCUGAAGCGCUAAGGCCAGGGGAGCGAAGGGGAUUAGAUACCCCCGUAGUCCUGGCUUCAAACGAUGUGGGCUUGGUGUCGGCCCCCGACAGAGGGUCGUUGCCGGAGCUAACGUGUUAAGCCCACCGCCUGGGGAUUACGUCCGCAAGGAUGAAACUCAAGGGAAUUGACGGGGGCCCGCACAACCGGUGGAGCACGUGGUUUAAUUCGAUGAUAAGCGAAGAACCUUACCAGGGCUUGACCUAGCGGCAGUAGGACCCCGAAAGGGGAACGACCUCAAGCUUUGCUUGAGGAGCC
rnacentral:rRNA from 1 species